AAGGGGGUAGCUCAGUGGUAGAGCGUGUGCUUAGCAUGCACAAGGUCCUGGGUUCAAUCCCCAGUCCCUCCA
rnacentral:tRNA from 1 species